ensembl:lncRNA
NNNNNNNNNNNNNNNNNNNNUUAUUUCAAUUUGUCUUUUGUAGGAUGGUGUACUGCUGUACAACAAUUAGGACAGGUUUUGAAUAAUCCAGUCACAUGAAAAACGUAAGUAAUUUGCACCUAUUAAUUAUUGUUUUGGAGGGUCAGUUUUAUUUAUCUUUCUUCUCUCCUAUGCUCUACCUCACCAUUCUCGUUGGCAAGUAACUCAAUGUGGAAAUGCAAAGAUUGUGGUGUCUCCAAAGCCAAGCGUUCUGAGCUUCUCAAGCAUUUUAAGCUUGAUCAUAGGAAUUUUGGACAUCGUCAUCCUUAUCCUUGUGUUUAUUCAGACUGUCCUUGUUCAUUUAAAACUUGGAGUUCUCUGAAGAGCCAUGUGUCAAGAUAAUAACAGAAAAUACUGAAGACUUGUCCAGAGCUAUAGAGCACAAAUUAGCCUCAGUCCUUUUAAAGUUAGAGCACGUUUUUCUUGUACCUGGUGUGGCCAUUGAUGACCUUUUGCAGGAAUUGCAUUAUUUAAUUAGUACAGUUUCAGUUCCAGUUGUUAAUCAAACUAUUCACCAGGUACUGCAGGAACAUAAUUUGCUGGUUGAUAAAGUUGUUGUAGAUGAGUUAGCCACCUUUCUUUGCCAGUCACAUCCAAUUCCAACAGCAAUCAGAGAGCAAGGUCCACUUUCCACUACAUGUAAACGGAAAGCAUACUACAAAGCCCAUUUUUCAGUAGUAAAGCCUGUAGAGUAUGUGCUUGAUCGGAGUCAUGGAAGAACAUUUCAGUACGUUCCAAUUCUACAAUCCCUGCAGCAACUUCUGAGUUGCCAGCCAAUACUUGAUAAUACACUUCAUUUAAAAUCAGUGUAUAAAGGAGAUGAAUGUAAAUAUACAUGUUUUUUUGAUUCACUCAACUUCCAAAGGAAUGAACUGCUUUCUGAACCUGCUAUCUCUUUAAUUUUGUACGUGGAUGAAUUUGAGAUCUGCAACCCCCUUGGCACGUCCAAGAAAAAACACAAAGUUUUUGGAGUUUAUUGGAUUUUAGGAAAUUCACAUGAAGGAUGUCAGUCAUCCCUGUCAGCUAUAAAUUUAGCUGCUUUAAUUAAAAGCAGUGAUGUUAAGCAUUUUGGGUAUGACAAAGUGCUGGAACCAUUGAUUGAUGACCUUGUCACGUUGGAGAGACAUGGACUUUUCAUUGAAAAACUGGGAAAGACUGUCAAGGGCACAGUUCAAUGUAUUGUUGCUGACAAUCUUGGUGCUCACAGUAUUGCCGGAUUUGUGGAAAAUUUCUCUGGAAAAUAUGUCUGCAGAUUUUGUACAGCAGAGAAAGAAGCAUACCAGACUCAAGAAGUUGGAUCUGAAACAUUCUGCAUCAGAACUGAAGAACUACAUUCUGCUCAUCUUCAGUUUAUGAAAGACAAUGACUUGCCUCAUCAUUUUGGUGUGAAAGGGGGGUGUGUGUUUUCAGAAAAAUUAUCGCACUUCAAUGUUUGCACAGGAUUCCCGGCUGAUGUUGUGCAUGAUCUCUUUGAGGGUAUUGUCCCUUUUGAGAUAGCUUUGUCCUUGAAAGUCUUUUCAUCUAAAAAGUAUUUCACCUUGGAACACCUGAAUAAAGCAAUUCAGAACUUUCCAUUCAAAUGGAAUGACAAGACAAAUCGUCCACAUACUGUUCCUCUC